GCUGCAAGGUCAGCUGCAUCAGAGAUGAUUAGGAAAGCUGUAACAUCAUCUGUUUUGCAUUUCCUGUAACCUAGAUGGAAUGCACGUUAAGUGGCUCACGUUCUUUUCGUUCGAAACCGUCGUAGAGUGCAGACGCGCAUAUAAUCACGUUCCGGGGGAAAAGUUUUUUUUGGUGCGGACAAAGGCGGCAAGUGCUGAGUCGAGUUGGUUAUUCAAAAAAUAAAAAAAAAAAAUCCUUUGCGAAACGACGAGUGCGUGCGGGAAAAAAAGAGCGAAAAGAGACAGCCUAAUUGGAGUCCCUUUGCUGGCUGCUGAACGCCGGCGAAACUAUUUUUUUCAAUUUUUUUUCUGUGUUGAUCCCACUGGAAGUUGGCAGGCAGUUCGUUGGCGGCCCACACCAAGUACCUCAGGAGUCCUCCAUGCGGAGGCGAGGAGGUUAGGAUCGCCCCGAGUCCCCUUUAGUAAAUUGUGAGAAAAAACAAGAUGGCCGCUUCGUUUUCUACCUAACCUAAAAG